AAAACCUUUCUUAAUCCUGCUGUAUUUAUCAAGGAUCAAACCAGCAGCAGACAACAGAAGUUUAACAGAUUUCUACAGAAAUUCUUGUAAAAACAGAUAAUGACACAGUCAGUUGGCAUGCAAAUUUACAUAAAAAGAAUAUUCAAAAGGAGAGAGAAUAUUUUAUGAAUAUUAGCUGAGAUUGCAAUGCUUUCAUGGAGUUCCAAAUAAGAUGGGAACAAAUUCUGUGAAUCCCAGAUUUCGUGGAAUAAAUGCCCUGUACACAGGAUCUGCUAUCUUAAACUUCACAAGGACUACAAAUCUGGGAUAUUUGCAUCUUCCGCUUAAAAAAAUAGAAAGCUUUUUUUUUUUUUUUUUUUUUUUUUUUUUUUUAUCCCUGCCCUUUUUUUUUCCCCCAUGAAAAAAGGAUGCCCUCAAAAUCAAGACAUAGACUGCAUAGACUGGAGGGUCAGAGAGCCACACAAAAUUGGAUGGAGAAGUCUUGCAAGGUCAUCUAGCUUAUCCUAUAGCUGGCAGGCAGAUUCAGCUGUACCUAAGCUAAGGGAGUAACCCCAGUGCUGCAAGGCUGUCUCUGAGUGCUGUGGGCCAGCAAUCAAACUGCAAAGCUGAAUGACACUGCUGACUGGACUCCACUUGGCCCAGAAAGACUUAGAAGCAGAAGCUGCAAGUCUUCACUGCUGGAGGGGAAGUAGGUUUGUCCACACUGCAUUGCAGAAGGAUCUCCCGCUUUG